rnacentral:miRNA from 1 species
UGAUAUCGUCACCCAGCACCGC